rnacentral:rRNA from 1 species
GUAUCUAGAGGAAGUAAUAGUCGUAACAAGGUUUCUGUAGGUGAACAUGCGGAAGGAUCAUUAACGAGUUUUGAAAUGGGUUGUAGCUGGCCUUACGAAGGCAUGUGCACACCCUGCUCAUCCACUCUCAUACCCCUGUGCACCUAUUGUAGGCUUGGUGGGAUGAGUUGACCUCUCGGGGUUGACUCUGAAAGCCUGGUCUAUGUUUAUUACAAACGCUUUAGUUUAAGAAUGUCUACUUUGCGUCUAACGCAUUAAAUACAACUUUCAGCAACGGAUCUCUUGGCUCUCGCAUCGAUGAAGAACGCAGCGAAAUGCGAUAAGUAAUGUGAAUUGCAGAAUUCAGUGAAUCAUCGAAUCUUUGAACGCACCUUGCGCUCCUUGGUAUUCCGAGGAGCAUGCCUGUUUGAGUGUCAUGGUAUUCUCAACCUUUAUAGCUUUUUUGAGGCAAUAAAGGCUUGGACUUGGAGGUCGUGUCGGCGCAAGUCGACUCCUCUUAAAUGCAUUAGUGUGAACCUUACGGAUCGCCUCCAGUGUGAUAAUUGUCUACGCUGUGGUGUUGAAGUAUAGUCGAGUUCAUGCUUCUAAUUGCCGCAUGGACACACAAAUUAAAACUUGACAAUCU